rnacentral:siRNA from 1 species
UACGACGUGCAAUGGGGUGGU